rnacentral:lncRNA from 1 species
CACUUUACUCAGCACCCGGCCUGAUGGCUGCAGACGGGUCCCUAUCUUUUAGGGGAAAACAGAUCCUGGGCCAGGAGCUGGCAGGGCUCAUUGAGAGGGCUUUAAACUAGGUAAGAAGGGGGAUGGGGCUGAAGCAAGGAUUGUUGGAGCUGUGCCAGGGGGAACAAUGGCAAGGCCAGGGGAUAAGGCAAUGGCCCAGCUGAAGUGCAUCUACACCAAUGCACACAGCAUGGGUAACAAGCAGGAGGAGCUGGAAGACAUCGUGCAGCGGGCAGGCUAUGACUUGGUUGCCAUCACGGAGACGUGGUGGGACCACUCCCAUGACUGGAGUGCUGCAAUGCCUGGCUAUAAGCUCUUCAGAAGGGACAGGCAGCACAGAAGGGGUGGUGGUGUGGCUCUCUAUAUUAGAGAUUCUUUCGAUGUUGUAGAACUCGAGGCUGGGAAUGACAAGGUCGAGUCCCUUUGGGUUAGGAUUGGCGGGAAGGCCAACAAUGCUAGUGUCCUGGUCGGGGUCUGUUAUAGACUGCCGAACCAGGAUGAGGAGACGGAUGAGGAGUUCUACAGGCAGAUGACAGAAGUUGCGAAAUCUUCAGCGCUUGUUCUCAUGGGGGACUUCAACUUCCCUGACGUAUCCUGGAAGCACAACACAGCCCAGAGAAAGCAGUCUAGGAGGUUUCUGGAGAGUGUGGAAGAUAGCUUCGUGACGCAGCUGGUUAGUGAGCCUACCAGGGGUGGCGCCCCGCUAGACCUUCUCUUCACAAACAGAGAAGGACUGGUGGAGGAUGUGAUUGUCGAGAGCUGUCUUGGGCAGAGUGACUAUGAAAUGGUGGAGUUCUUUAUUCUUGGCGAGGCCAGGAAGGGGACCAGUAAAACCGCUGUAUUGGACUUCUGGAGGGCUGACUUUGAGCUGUUCAGGACAUUGGUUGGUAGAGUCCCUUGGGAGGAGGUUCUGAAGGGCAGAGGAGUCCAGGAAGGCUGGGCGCUCUUCAAGAAGGAAAUCUUAAUGGCACAGGAGUGGUCCGUCCCCACGUGCCCAAAGACGAGCUGGCGGGGAAGAAGACCAGCCUGGCUGAACAGAGAAUUGUGGCUUGAGCUUAGGAGAAAAAAGAGGGUUUAUAAUCUUUGGACCUUAUCGCUCUCUACAGGUACCUCAAAGGAGGCUGUAGUGAGGUGGGGAUUGGUCUGUUCUCCCACGUGCCUGGUGACAGGACGAGGGGGAAUGGGCUUAAGUUGCACCAGGGCAGUUUUAGGUUGGAUCUUAGGAAGAACUUCUUUACUGAAAGGGUUAUUAGACAUUGGAACAGGCUGCCCAGGGAGGUGGUGGAGUCCCCAUCCCUGGAAGUCUUUAAAAGACGUUUAGAUGUAGAGCUUAGGGAUAUGGUUUAGUGGGGACUGUUAGUGUUAGGUCAGAGGUUGGACUCGAUGAUCUUGAGGUCUCUUCCAACCUAGAAAUUCU